GUGAAUGUAGCUCAGUGGUAGGGUGCUUGCCCAGCAUGUAUGAGGUCCUGGGUUCAAUACCCAGUAUUGCA
rnacentral:tRNA from 1 species